CCUACGGGUGGCAGCAGUGGGGAAUAUUGCACAAUGGGGGAAACCCUGAUGCAGCAACGCCGCGUGAGUGAAGAAGUAUUUCGGUAUGUAAAGCUCUAUCAGCAGGGAAGAAGAAAGACGGUACCUGACUAAGAAACCCCGGCUAACUACGGGCCAGCAGCCGCGGUAAUACGUAGGGGGCAAGCGUUAUCCGGAUUUACUGGGUGUAAAGGGAGCGUGGACGGCUUUGGAAGUAUGAAGUGAAAGCCCGUGGCCUAACCCCGGGACUGCUUUGGAAACUGUAAAACUUGAGUACUGGAGAGGACAGGGGAAUUCCUAGUGUAGCGGUGGAAUGCGUAGAUAUUAGGAGGAAAACCAGUGGCGAAGGCGGCCAGCUGGACAGAAACUGACGUUGAGGCUCGAAAGGGUGGGGAGCAAACAGGAUUAGAUACCCGAGUAGUC
rnacentral:rRNA from 1 species